CUGCGUGUAUAAGAAUACGUGCCAGGGACCGGUGGGUACACAUAUUUCCAUAAACCUGUUAUCUCUGAUGCUCCGAUCCAGAGAGCCUUCGGUCUCUGAUUUAAAGGCAGCGGAAAGGAUGAAGUGCAUUGCGGUCUUCCUGUGUUGUCCAUGGUCUCCUCAUGGCUGAACCUGGAGAGUGUUUCUGGGGAUGGUUGCCGGCCACGUGAUCAAAGGAAUCAUGAACGGUGGGGUGGAAAAUCAAAACCAGCUGGAUAAACGCACAGUGGAGUACAUCGCUGACGACUCCCAGCCCCCACCCCCGUUCCCCCCCCGCCCCCGUUACCACUAGACGGGAUCCGGAUGGGACCGGCCCGGAGUCCCGAUCCGGAUGGGACCGGCCUGGAGUCCCGAUCCGGAUGGGAACACAUUCGGCUUCCUGCUCUUUCAACAUACUAUAAGAAAGAAAAGUGUAUCUCCACUGCAGCAAUCUUUUUUUAAUUAAUAUGGUAACUUUCUGAAUAAAUUUGCAUUGAAAAACACAAAAA